rfam:Ailuropoda melanoleuca scaffold657_31, whole genome shotgun sequence.
ACCUAGCUGGCUCAGUGGGUGAAGCAUGUGACUCUUGAUCUCUGGGUUGUGAGUUCAAGCCCCAUGGUAGGUA